GUGUUGUUUGAAAGGAGAGAAGGUCAGCACUCCUCUUGGCAAGGACAGAAGAGGCCCUUGGGCCACACACAUGCACAGGGGUAAGGCAUUGCCACCUACUUCGUGGCAUCUAGUAGUUAGG
rnacentral:ncRNA from 1 species